rnacentral:rRNA from 1 species
AGUGAACGCUGGCGGUAGGCCUAACACAUGCAAGUCGAGCGGCAGCACAGUAAGAGCUUGCUCUUACGGGUGGCGAGUGGCGGACGGGUGAGGAAUACAUCGGAAUCUACUUUUUCGUGGGGGGUAACGUAGGGAAACUUACGCUAAUACCGCAUACGACCUACGGGUGAAAGCAGGGGAUCUUCGGACCUUGCGCGAUUGAAUGAGCCGAUGUCGGAUUAGCUAGUUGGCGGGGUAAAGGCCCACCAAGGCGACGAUCCGUAGCUGGUCUGAGAGGAUGAUCAGCCACACUGGAACUGAGACACGGUCCAGACUCCUACGGGAGGCAGCAGUGGGGAAUAUUGGACAAUGGGCGCAAGCCUGAUCCAGCCAUACCGCGUGGGUGAAGAAGGCCUUCGGGUUGUAAAGCCCUUUUGUUGGGAAAGAAAAGCAGCAGGUUAAUACCCCGCUGUUCUGACGGUACCCAAAGAAUAAGCACCGGCUAACUUCGUG